rnacentral:rRNA from 1 species
AUACGUAGGUGGCAAGCGUUGUCCGGAAUCACUGGGCGUAAAGCGCGCGCAGGCGGCGAUCUACGUCUGGGGUGAAAGCCCGGAGCUCAACUCCGGGACUGCCUUGGAUACGGGAUCGCUUGAGGAUUGGAGAGGCAAGGGGAAUUCCACGUGUAGCGGUGAAAUGCGUAGAUAUGUGGAGGAACACCUGUGGCGAAGGCGCCUUGCUGGCCAAUUUCUGACGCUGAGGCGCGAAAGCGUGGGGAGCAAACAGGAUUAGAUACCCUGGUAGUCCACGCCGUAAACGAUGAGUGCUAGGUGUUGGGGGGUACCACCCUCAGUGCCGAAGCUAACGCAUUAAGCACUCCGCCUGGGGAGUACGGUCGCAAGACUGAA